rnacentral:rRNA from 1 species
AGUAACGCGUGGAUAACCUGCCUCACACAGGGGGAUAACAGUUAGAAAUGACUGCUAAUACCGCAUAAGCGCACGGCAUCGCAUGAUGCAGUGUGAAAAACUCCGGUGGUGUGAGAUGGAUCCGCGUCUGAUUAGGUAGUUGGUGAGGUAACGGCCCACCAAGCCGACGAUCAGUAGCCGACCUGAGAGGGUGACCGGCCACAUUGGGACUGAGACACGGCCCAAACUCCUACGGGAGGCAGCAUG